AGCUCCAAUAGCGUAUAUUAAAGUUGUUGCAGUUAAAAAGCUCGUAGUUGAAGAUUUGACUCACGGACCCCCGCUGAGGUGGGCGGUCCCAGGUCGUAGAUCACAAAGAAGCCUUUGCGCAUUAAUUUGUGCUCUGGCCGAGAUGUGUCCUUUACUGUGAACAAAUUAGGGUGUUUAAAGCAGGCUAUCGUUUGAAUACACUAGCAUGGAAUAAUAAGAUAUGACUCCUGUUGCAUAUGCUGGUGGCUAUGGGAGUAAUGAUUGACAGGAACAGUCGUGGGUAUUCGUAUGAGCAUGUCAGAGGUGAAAUUCUUGGAUUUUGAUCAGACGAACUACUGCGAAAGCAUUUACCAAGGAUGUUUUCA
rnacentral:rRNA from 1 species